UAGGGGGUGUAGCAAUACAUCACCGGCGGACGGGUGCGUAACGCGUGGGAAUAUACCUAUCGAUUCGGAACAACUGAGGGAAACUUCAGCUAAUACCGAAUACGUCCUAACGGAGAAAGAUUUAUCGUCGAUAGAUUAGCCCGCGUUCGAUUAGCUAGUUGGUGGGGUAACGGCCCACCAAGGCGACGAUCGAUAGCUGUUCUGAGAGGAAGAUCAGCCACACUGGGACUGAGACACGGCCCAGACUCCUACGGGAGGCAGCAGUUGGGAAUCUUGGACAAUGGGGGAAACCCUGAUCCAGCCAUGCCGCGUGAGUGAUGAAGGCCUUCGGGUUGUAAAACUCUUUCGCGCACGACGAUAAUGACGGUAGUGCGAGAAGAAGCUCCGGCUAACUUCGUG
rnacentral:rRNA from 1 species